AACGAACGCUGGCGGCAUGCCUAACACAUGCAAGUCGAACGAGACCUUCGGGACUAGUGGCGCACGGGUGCGUAACGCGUGGGAACCUGCCCUUAGGUUCGGAAUAACUCCCCGAAAGGGGUGCUAAUACCGGAUAAUGUCUUCGGACCAAAGAUUUAUCGACUUUGUAUGGGCCCGCGUUGGUUUAGCUAGUUGGUAGGGUAAAAGCCUACCAAGGCGACGAUACAUAGCUGGGCUGAGAGGAUGAGCAGCCACACUGGGACUGAGACACGGCCCAGACUCCUACGGGAGGCAGCAGUGGGGAAUAUUGGACAAUGGGCGAAAGCCUGAUCCAGCAAUGCCGCGUGAGUGAUGAAGGCCUUAGGGUUGUAAAGCUCUUUUACCCGGGAUGAUAAUGACAGUACCGGGAGAAUAAGCUCCGGCUAACUCCGUG
rnacentral:rRNA from 1 species